CACAGGGAAGGAGCAGAGGCGGAAGAUUCCCAGAGCUCGGAGCAGCUCUCCCAAACUCUUCACCCUGAAGGCACUCGGAUCUUCGAAGGCCAGAGUCGCUGAGAGGCGGUCGGGCUGCUUGACAGACACCGUCAUCCUGGAGGCCGUAGUACACAGUAGCCUCAGCGACAAGAGGUGAGGGAGUGAGGGACGCAAGCGAGAGCACAUCAUCAUCCCUGGAAAAGUGAGUAGGACCCCUGGGGGUGGACGUGUCCAUGCUGGUGUUGUCUGUACAGAUGCCUGAACGGGAUCGAGAGGGAUGAGUGGGGGUCCUGACAGAGCCGGAGAGGGUCUAGUAUUGAUGACGGGAGAUUCAGACCACUGCGCAAAGUCUUCUCCAGCACAUCCCAAAGAUUCUCAAUCGGGUUCAGGUCUGGACUCUGUGGGGGCCAAUCCAUGUGUGAGAAUGAUGUCUCAUGCUCCCUGAACCACUCUUUCACAGUUUGAGCCCGAUGGAUCCUGGCAUUGUCAUCUUGGAACAUGCCCGUGCCAUCAGGGAAGAAAGAAUCCAUCGAUGGAAUAACCUGGCCCUUCAGUAUAUUCAGUGAAAAUACAUCCGACAGACAACAAGUGUAGCUCCAAGUCGGUCAGACCACCUCCAGAGGGUCUCUGUCCGCCUUCGACACAGCCACGGUCACACUGUCAGGAAGACGCACAGCCAGCCUCUCCCUGAACACCGCCAGGAAACCCCGCUCACUGUUGCUAUGGUCACUGAGGAUAACGUUAGUCCCCAUCGCCACGGCGUCCAGCACCUCAUGAUGGGACAUCUCACCUGAACAAGGAUGUCUGCCUUGACUCCGCCCAGUACUGAAGCACCAGAUCCAGCACACACAGCGACAGUACGCACAGAGGACUCUGAAACACAACAGAACGCAAUUCAAGGACACGCAACAAAAACAUCUAGGUUUAAUAUCAAAAUAGCUGUCUUCUUCUGCUUUCCUCUGCAAUUUAGUGCCUAUGAGAGUUGUUUAAAUACUUUUUUAAUAGGUGUUUUAAUUACCUCUAAAGCACAUUUAGGGAUUUAUUUGUAUAUAGCCAAGUCCAGGCUGACAUCUCUGGCAGAACUUAUUAUGUGACUCAAAAUUCAGGCUUAAGACUUAAAAAGAGGUAUUUACCUAGCGUCUGUCCCGAUCCCAGAGCCAAACGGAGGUGACUCAAACCAAGGUGCGACUUCAUUUUCUGGAUGGCUGCUGAAACGGUCACUGGCUGAUCCAAAACACUAAUUCGUCCUUGGCCGUGGCCCGGUAGAGGAGGCUGCAGGGGGUGUGAAGUGAACAAGAAAACAUUUUUUAUAUCACCCUUCUAUAUAAGUAUCGACAGCUGUUUUGUGAAAAAUAAUACAGAUAGAGCUUUGUUUCCAUGCUGAAGUAGUCUUUUUUCUGUCUCGCUGUAUUUCCUUGGUUUAUCGUGUGUGUGUUCUGUACCUUUUCUAACUUGAGGAUGCUGAAGGACAGGCUGGUAGCAUUGUGUCGUAACAGAGCCUGGACACUGGGGGUCAGCGCUGAGUCACUGCAGGUCACGCUCACAUGGAUCCAGCUGUUGUCUGGUCUGUAAUAGUCAGGGCAAACCAACUGUUAUUCAUUAAAAGGACUUACUGGUUUUGGAUGUUUAAACCUAUUACCUUCAAAUAAAUGUUAUACCUUAAAUUGCCACUGACCAAAUUCUGAUCAACAUAAGCUUCUGUUCUUUUUAGUAUUUUUGAAAGUCCCAAUCAGCCGGACAAACGCAAUCAGCCAGAGUGCUUCAUUUAUAGCCUUUACUUUGAUGUAGACGUUAUGUAACCAGCUUUUGGUAAAGGCGCUGGGUGUGUGUUGGAAAAGAUAAAUAGGUAGAUCUUGCGUAGCCAUAAGAGCUUUUAUCAUAUGAAGUACAAAAAUACUCCUUUGUAUUUUUGGAGUACACAAUCUGCUUCCUGUUUACAAAGGAAGGCCCAUUGUAAAUGAAUGAUUAUAUGUGAUGCUUUUUUUCAUCGUGUAACUAUGUAUAUUGAUACAUUUUGAAAUGGUGCUUUUGUUUAUUUGUUCACUGUGUGAACCAUGUGAGAAAAAAGAUAUACAACUGUUCAUUUAGUGGUGAAGUACUCCUUUGAAGUGAGAUUAUGAGGUGCCUACUUAUACACUUUUCUUUGGUCAAUGCAAACAUGUACAGGACCUGCCGGCUGACUGCUGUAGUGUUGUGUCACUGUCACAAGCCUUCAGUUCCUCCAUCACAGCGUUUAGUUCCUCUGUGCUCUUGACUGUGAACUCCAGUUUGUGGGUGUGGGAAGCGGCGGCGUGGGCCUG